rnacentral:rRNA from 1 species
UACGAAGGGUGCAAACGUUGCUCGGAAUCAUUGGGCGUAAAGCGCACGUAGGCGGCUUUGCAAGUCGGAUGUGAAAGCCCUUGGCUUAACCGAGGAAGUGCAUCCGAAACUGGCGAGCUAGAGUACGAAAGAGGAUCGCGGAAUUCCCGGUGUAGAGGUGAAAUUCGUAGAUAUCGGGAGGAACACCGGUGGCGAAGGCGGCGAUCUGGGUCGAUACUGACGCUGAGGUGCGAAAGCGUGGGGAGCAAACAGG